rnacentral:ncRNA from 1 species
UAAGUUGGAGGAUAGAAAGGCAGCUAUCACGCCUAUAAAUAUAAAAUGUUCCUCGCUCGGCUAGUAAUAGCAACGCAAGAAGGUCAUUUAUAGGUCUUGAAAGAGAUGCAGGGUACGCCGACCUGCCCAACUAA